UAACAAUGAUUCAUAUAAGAACGACUGCUCGUAGAUUUUCAAAUAAUAGUAAAAACUAUCUCUUGGAACUAAGAAAGAGUUCGUUACAAACAUUAAAGCAGUUGGCCAACUUGGAACUAAGUUAGGCAAUUUUAAAAGCAAAAAGAAUUAAAUAUUUAAACCCCACUUGAAAUUUCAUGUUAUCAUUACUAUAGUAUAUGAGUUUUAUUUCUCAUUUCUCAUUUUUCGUUUAUCUCAUAAUCACAAGCCAUAAAGUAUGUUGACCUAAUAUUAGAAAAAAGAGAGAGUAAUGUAUGUUGAUCAAGCCUGAAGUAAGGUGGUAACUGGCGAUUCUAAAGCCAUUAGUAAACUACAUAGUCUACAUGUAAAAUAACAAAUAAGCAUUCACAGAAUAUAAAAGAAAAUGAAGCGAUGACAAAAGUCAAGUGUUUUAUUUAUUAUUAAACCGUAUUAUGCAGAAACGAAAGUAACUAAGUAUGUAAAUUGUAUUAAAAAAAUUGAUUCCAAGAUUUUCGACUUUUCCAAAAUAAAUUAAUAAUUGAUUAUAUUAUUUUGGUUUCUUCACUCGUACGUAACAAAUCUUUCAAAGUAAACGAGGAAAUGGGAGGUCUAUAUAUUUAUAUGAAUUUUCAACGAUUACUAUAUCAUCUUUAUUCUAUAGUCACCCACGAAGGUUGACUUGUGACAUAUGAAUCUGAACACGAUACCAAAAUUUCUCACGAGUAAGAGAGCAAGUUGUUUUGUCUUAAUUGCGGAUACACUUACUCCUCAAAUUAAAUACGGAGUAUAGUUUUUCCUCUUAUUGAAGACAUUAUAUUUUUAUUUUCUUUUUAUUAGAGUAACAUAAUUUUCGUUAUUUAUGUGCUUCUAAAUCAUCUGAUUCAUGCACUUAUAAAAAAUGUCUAUAUUAAGGAAGAGAUAAGAUCAAACAAAUACGUUUUCAAGAAAACGAAUCCUAAUUAAUGAUCCAGAAAAUUGGAAAACAUAAUUUGAAUUUUUUUUAAAGCAAUAAUAAGAGAAUCACAAACAAAUGAAGCUCAGAUUGAUCCAAAAUCACUACUGACAAAUACCUAACCGAGAUAGAAGAGGCAGAAUGGACAAAAUAACAGCAUUCUGCAACCAUACAAUUGCCAAAUUAUGUAUAAACAUCCAAAAACAUAAUGAAAAGAAAAACGUACAUGAAUAUACAACAGUCUUCUUGUUAUGUGUGUGGGAUAUGAUAUGAUCAAGUGUUUAAGGUAUAUGUCAGCAGAGUGCAGAGAGAAAGGUCCUCUAGUUUCCUCUAUUUCUGGGGAAAAUAGAGAGAGAUGGAAUAUUUCUAGGGAAAAUAGAGAGAGAUGGAAGGAGAGGAAGUGAAAUGAGCGUUGAAGCUGUUGAUGAACAAGGACAAAGUGCAAGCGUUUUGAAACGACCAUUUAUAAGCGACUCUAUAAGAGAUAAUGUUUCGGUAUAUUCUCCCUCUAGCGACGCCGUUUUACUAUCUUCAAUAUUUUUUCUCUCUUUUUAUUACAACUUUUAUUUUGCUGUAAUUAUUCUUUUAUUAUCUAAAAACAGCUGUUUUACUAUAAUAAUAAGUUCUUGUUUUGUACUUGUAAUUGACCAUGAACUGUACUUAGAUACAGAGGUUUUGAGGUAUUUUUAUAAUAUUAAUUGAGAUCUUCACCAUUAAGUACAAUCACUAGAUACCUAUUCCCUGGCAUGUUAUUUAGGCAGAUAUAAGUUUUAAAUCCUAAUAGAGUCAAAAUAGGGGUUAAAAAAUUCUAACAAAAUGAAUUCAGUUAGCAUUUAGCAGUGUGGUCAGACUUUGGUUACUUAUAAAAAACUACACUAUGUUUGCCUAAUUCGAGACAAUCAUUUAAUUUUAAAAUAUUAGAAUUUGAUGACACACUAUCUUAUAAAGUUGUAAUAAUAACUUUUAAUUUGAAUAAAAAUAAACUUAGGGACGUGAACAAAAGUAUUUAAACGAAGAAAUCAACAUUGAUACAACAAACAGUUAUUUUACGGCAAAAGGUUAUUUUAACAAUUUUUAAAAAAAAAUUAGUGAUUUUUGAUAUGUACAAAACUUUUUUAAAGUGAAAGAAGAGUAACUGCAUGAUAUCUAUAUCUACAGAGUACAUACGACAAUCUCAACUGUACUUAUUUGGGUAUGGCCAGGCCGUAUGGGAAUAACACCUAUUGUAAGGCUCAUGACUUGUGGAAUGGUAUGUUUCGUAUCUGACAAGUAAGAGACUUUGAUGCAUUUCCAGAAAUACCAGUGUAUCUUGCUUAGUUGCUUUAGCCCAGCAAGCUACCUUCUUUCUCUUCCGUGACCCAACAAGUUUUUUUUUCAUGGCAUCUUAAUUUCCAUCUAUUAUUAUUAUGUACUUAUGUAGUAAUAUUUUAUACAAUAAUGACCCUCGUUUUUAAUGAUUUAUAAAAUAAUUCAAUGGUGUUAAAAAAAAUACAAUAAUACUAUUUAGUAAUGCUCUAUAGUCUAUAUACAUGUCUUUCACGUGAAAUAAUUUCGUGAUGGAGUUAUAUAUACAAACACAAUUUUUUUCAUUUGGCGAAAAUAUUAUGAAAUCUACACCAGUUGAUUUCAUAAUCUAUUUUAUUAAAGAAGACCAAAACUGAAAUGUUUGAUCCAUAAAAAUGCUGGUUUAUGGUACCCUAAAAACAUAUUGGAAUAAUAAUGCAUAUCUAUCUGCUGCUAAUCCGUUUCGAUUACAUAGCAAAACGCAUAAAAAUGGUAAACAAAUUUACAACUAAUAUAGUACGUAUGCUACAUUGAAAAAAUCACAUAAGCACAUGAAAUUAGCUACAGACUUAAAGAUGGAAAAUUGUCAACCUGAUUGCUCAACUAUCAUUCAAUUUCCAUGACACUUCAAGAUGUUAUUCCUUCAAUUCAUGAUGACUUUUGUUGUAAAAAACACAAGAUUUCAAGGCCUUACGUUCUUCGCAUGGUGCAAAAACGAUAUUUAUUUUUAGAUGAUAUGAUGGAUUAUGGGUGCCUGUGUUCGACCGAUGAUUACGAUCCCAAAGCGAAUUUUUUUGAGAAUAGUAAAAAUGUUUUGAGUUCCUCGUUACUUAUAAAUUAUUAGUAAUAUUUUAGAAAGUUGGUUCAAAAAAACUAUUUAUAAAUUAUUGUAUUCUUUUAUUUUCUUCGGGCCUAAGACGUUAGCAAGUAGUACCAACAAACGAAAUAUAUUAAAAUUGAUGGCUUGACUCUAUCCAUAUCAGAGUUGACUAAUUAAAUGUUGAUGUCUUUGGUAUGACAUAUUACGUCGAUGUGUUGAAAUGUUAUUGCCUGUAAAGGUGACUUCUAUGUCCACAAUUCCGUCGUUCACAUUGGACAGAUCCUUUUUCUAGUUACACAAGGUCUAAUCAAUUAAUCACACUAUUAUUAUGUAGAUUAUAUGUCUGUUAGAUGAAGCAUUUAAGCCUCUGCAUCCACACAUGGAGACCACUAUAAUAGCAAGCGAAAACGAAUAAUGAUGUUAGAUGAAGCGUUUAAUCCUCUGCAUCCACACAUGGAGACCAUUAAUAGCAAGAGAAAACGAAUACAAUCUUAGUACCCUUCACAUCAUGAGAUUAUAACCAGUUUUUUGGAGUUGAUUUUGAAACGUUUAGACUUUAUUCAAGUAUAUGAGUACAAAUUAGAGCAUCCCCCUAAGAGGAAAAGCUUGAUAAAUAGAUUGAGGACCACAAGAAGUUGUGGCUCCGGCGUUAUCUUAUCAUUAAUGUUUGAUUCAUGUAGAAAAAUAUAUACAAGAUAUUUUGAAUUUAUGCCUAGUCCAUCAAUCUAUGCUACUCCAUUUUCUCAUAUAUAUAUAUAUGGAUGAAUUAUUAAAAUUCAUCCAUAUGUAAAAUCCGAAAGGAUUAUUAAAAUUUAUUCACCAUGUGUAACUCAUAAAUCAUAGGUUUGUAACAAUGAACUCUCACCGCUCAGAAUUUAGCUACUAAUUCAGCAAUUAUUAUUCGGCACUAAAUUUCAGUAACGACCUCACUUGUUGCAUUAAUAAAAAAAAGUAACAAUGAAGGAGAACAUUUCUUUUAAAAUCGAUACACAAACAUUUUGAUUUCAAUAGCGUUAGAACAUCAAAAUAUCAAACGAAGAACAACUUAAGUUGCUAGAAACAAAAAGAUAAGAGAAAAAUAGAAACAAAAAGACUUAUUAAAUCAAACUACACAAUGGGGACCGUUCUACUAUCACUUGUUGUGUUCUCAUUGUCUUCAUUUUCACCGGACAUUUCCUCGAGCGACUUCCCUUUAGAUUCAGG